AGGUGAUAAAAGAAGGGAAAGGGAAAGGAGUAUUAUUACGAUUCUUGUUAGACUUUAGCACAGGCAAGGAGAAGGAGCAAACAAUUUCGACAAUACCAAAGGAUAAGUGAACAAUUUGGGGAGUUGUCAAGGUAAAAGAUUGUGUCACUACUGACAGGUCUAAAGUCUUGAGUGUGAAUGGGGGAUAGAACAAUGGAACGUAUUUUAUAUAAGAUGUAAAUAUUGUAAUAAAACUUACUAGUGUAACUUGUAAUUAACGGUUUAGUUUUGUCGGAACUUGCAUAACAUGCCUAUAAUUUGUUGUAAAUUGUAAACUAUUAAGCAGGUAUUCUGAUGUAUGAUGACCUCAUGUUUGAAUGAGGUUA